rnacentral:misc_RNA from 1 species
GGAUUAGUACAUUCAUACAUAGGCCCAUACAAAUCCAACUACAUAUCACAAAAUAACACAACCCGUACUAAACUUUAAAUUAAAAAUACGAACAAUUAAACAGCGUAAAUCCAAGAGAGUGACUUCAAGGGCACUUGUUGGUGCGGUUCUGGUGGGUGGUCCAGCCAGUAUAGCAGGUCCCACACGUCUCCCUGUUCCCUGCAGUGCCGGCCGGAACGCACUUGCACACCAUACAGCACGUCGUGCAGGCCCUGUUGCACACAUUCUGUCGCGAGUGCUUGCUGCACCGUGCUAAACAAACACCAGGGCACUCCUUUGUUGCAUUGAUAACCAUAUGUGGAGCUGGAGCCAAGGGAGCAGGAGCGGGUGCGACGCCUAUCAGAGAAACCUCUUCCAUUGGUGCCUCAUUGAGGGACAAAACCCUUGCAGUGACUAGGAGGAGAGAGGCGACCACGA